rnacentral:rRNA from 1 species
GAUGAACGCUGGCGGCGUGCCUAACACAUGCAAGUCGAGCGAUUCUCUUCGGAGAAGAGCGGCGGACGGGUGAGUAACGCGUGGGUAACCUGCCCUGUACACACGGAUAACAUACCGAAAGGUAUGCUAAUACGAGAUAAUAUGCUUUUAUCGCAUGGUAGAAGUAUCAAAGCUUUUGCGGUACAGGAUGGACCCGCGUCUGAUUAGCUAGUUGGUAAGGUAACGGCUUACCAAGGCGACGAUCAGUAGCCGACCUGAGAGGGUGAUCGGCCACAUUGGAACUGAGACACGGUCCAAACUCCUACGGGAGGCAGCAGUGGGGAAUAUUGCACAAUGGGCGAAAGCCUGAUGCAGCAACGCCGCGUGAGCGAUGAAGGCCUUCGGGCCGUAAGCUCUGUCCUCAAGGAAGAUAAUGACGGUACUUGAGGAGGAAGCCCCGGCCGUAACUACGUG